rnacentral:rRNA from 1 species
GACGAACGCUGGCGGCGUGUUUAACACAUGCAAGUCGAACGAUGAACCCGGAGCUUGCUCCGGCGGAUUAGUGGCGAACGGGUGAGUAACACGUGAGUAACCUGCCCUUGACUCUGGGAUAACUGCGGGAAACUGUAGCUAAUACCGGAUACGACCCUCGGCGGCAUCGCCAGGGGGUGGAAAGAAUUUCGGUCAAGGAUGGACUCGCGGCCUAUCAGCUAGCUGGUGAGGUAACGGCUCACCAAGGCGACGACGGGUAGCCGGCCUGAGAGGGUGACCGGCCACACUGGGACUGAGACACGGCCCAGACUCCUACGGGAGGCAGCAGUGGGGAAUAUUGCACAAUGGGCGCAAGCCUGAUGCAGCAACGCCGCGUGAGGGAUGACGGCCUUCGGGUUGUAAACCUCUUUUAGUAGGGAAGAAGCGAAAGUGACGGUACCUGCAGAAAAAGCACCGGCUAACUACGUGCCAGCCGCCGCAGUAA